rnacentral:rRNA from 1 species
GGGGGAUAAAUUAAUAAAGUAUAAAUAAUAAAAAAAUUUUUAAUAUUAAAAUAUUUUAAUGGGGGUUAAAGUAUAUUUAAUAGAAAAAAUAAAAAAAUUUAUAGAAAAUUAGUAUUGUAAAAGAAAUUUGAAAUAUAUUGAAAAUAAAUUUAUUUAAAAGUAAAUUUAAAUUAUUGUAUCUUGUGUAUCAGAGUUUAUUAAUAAUAAUUUUUAUUUAAAAAUUUUCUCGAAUUUAAAAGAGAUAAUUAAUUAUUAAAAUUAAUGUUGUAUAAUUAUUUUAAAUAAUUAAUUGGAAAUGAGAUGUUAAUCGUUUUUAAAUAUAUCUAGUUUUUUUAGAAAAAAAUUUAAUUUUAAAUUUUAAAAAAAGUAUAAUUUUAAUUAAUUAAAAUUAUAUUUUUAAAAUUAAAUAUUUUAGGGGAUAAGCUUUAAAAUAAAUUUUUAUAAUAAAUUUUAAUAAUAAUUAAAAUUUUUAAAAUUUAUAUUGUUUAUAAAUUAUAAUUUUUUAUAAAUAAUUUUAAUUAAAUUAAAAUUUUAAAUUUAUUUAAUUUUUUAUUAAAAAAUAUUUUUUAAUAAUUAAAAUUUAGAUAUAAUGAUAAAAUUAGUAUAUAAAUGAAUAAAUAUAGUUUAUUAUUUGAUAAUUUAAUAAAAGGAAUUCGGCAAAAAUUAUAUUCACUUGUUUAUCAAAAACAUGUCUUUUUGGUUAAUAAUUUAAAGUCUAAUCUGCCCACUGAUAAUAUAUUAAAGGGCUGCAGUAUUUUGACUGUACAAAGGUAGCAUAAUCAUUAGUCUCUUAAUUGGUGACUUGUAUGAAAGAUUUGAUGAGAUAUAUACUGUCUCUUUUUAAUUUAUAAAAUUUAAUUUUUUAGUUAAAAAGCUAAAAUAUAUUUAAAAGACGAGAAGACCCUAUAGAGUUUUAUAUUUAUAUAAAUUAAAAUUUUUUAUAAGUUUUAAGAUUUUAAUUUAUAUAAAUAUUUUGUUGGGGUGAUAAAAAAAUUAAAAUAACUUUUUUUAUAAUUUUACAUUAAUAAAUGAAUAAAUGAUCCGUAAUUUACGAUUAUAAGAUAAAAUUACCUUAGGGAUAACAGCGUAAUUUUUUUUUUUAGUUCAAAUAAGAAAAAAAGUUUGCGACCUCGAUGUUGGAUUAAGAUAAAAUUUAAAUGCAAAAGUUUAAAAUUUUUGAUCUGUUCGAUCAUUAAAAUCUUACAUGAUCUGAGUUCAAACCGGUGUAAGCCAGGUUGGUUUCUAUCUUUAGAUUAAUAAAAUAUUUUAGUACGAAAGGAUCAAAUAUUUAAAAUAGUUUUAUUUAAAAGAAUUUUAAUAAUAGUAGAUAUUUUUAAAUAUG